rnacentral:hammerhead_ribozyme from 1 species
CACAGCUGACGAGUCCCAAACAGGACGAAACAGCUGUCUAGUGG